rnacentral:rRNA from 1 species
CCUACGGGUGGCAGCAGUGAGGAAUAUUUGUCAAUGGCCGUAAGGCUGAACCAGCCAAGUCGCGUGAAGGAAGAAGGUUCUAUGGUUUGUAAACUUCUUUUAUAUGGGAAUAAAGGUAUCCACGUGUGGAUAUUUUCAUGUACCCUAUGAAUAAGCAUCGGCUAACUCCGUGUCAGUAGCCGCGGUAAUACGGAGGAUGCGAGUGUUAUCCGGAUUUAUGGGGUUUAAAGGGUGCGUAGGUUGUUUUUUAAGUCAGCGGUGAAAGUUUGUGGCUCAACCAUAAGAUUGCCGUUGAAACUGGAAGACUUGAGUGUAUUAGAGAGUGGCGGAAUGCGUGGUGGAGCGGUGAAAUGCGUAGAUAUCUCGCUGAACUCCGAUUGCGAAGGCGACUUACUAGGCCAUAACUGACACUGAAGCACGAAAGCGUGGGGAUCAAACAGGAUUAGAUACCCUAGUAGUC